GACGAACGCUGGCGGCGUGCUUAACACAUGCAAGUCGAACGGUGACGGAGAGCUUGCUCUCCUGAUCAGUGGCGAACGGGGGAGUAACACGUGGGCAACCUGCCCCAGACUUCGGGAUAACGCUUCGAAAGAGGUGCUAAUCCCGGCUACGAGCUCCUUGGGCAUCCUUGGAGUUGGUAAGUUUUUAGGUCGGGGAUGGGCUGUCGGCCUAUCAGAUUGUUGGUGAGGUAACGGCUCACCAAGGGGACGACGGGUAGCCGGCCUGAGAGGGCGACCGGCCACACUGGGACUGAGACACGGCCCAGACUCCUACGGGAGGCAGCAGUGGGGAAUAUUGCGCAAUGGGCGAAAGCCUGACGCAGCAACGCCGCGUGAGGGAUGACGGCCUUCGGGUUGUAAACCUCUUUCAGCAGGGAAGAAGCGAAAGUGACGGUACCUGCAGAAGAAGCACCGGCUAACUACGUGCCAGCAGCCGCCGCGGUAA
rnacentral:rRNA from 1 species